rfam:TPA: Bos taurus chromosome X, whole genome shotgun sequence.
AUGAGAAGUUAAGAGUUCAUUCGGCUGUCCAGAUGUAUCCAAGUACCCUGAUAUUUGGCAAUAAAUACAUCUGGGCAACUGAUUGAACUUUUUGCUUUUCGG